rnacentral:rRNA from 1 species
AUAGCUCACUGAUCGAGUCGUCCUGCGCGGAAGAUGUAACGGGGCUCAAGCCGGUUACCGAAGCUGCGGAUGCGUGGUAACACGCAUGGUAGGAGAGCGUUCCGUAGGCCUGUGAAGGUGACUCGCGAGAGUUGCUGGAGGUAUCGGAAGUGCGAAUGCUGACAUGAGUAACGAUAAGGGGGGUGAAAAACCCCCCCGCCGGAAGACCAAGGUUUCCUGCGCAACGCUAAUCGGCGCAGGGUUAGUCGACCCCUAAGGCGAGGGCGAAAGCCGUAGUCGAUGGGAAGCAGGUUAAUAUUCCUGCACU